rnacentral:rRNA from 1 species
GUGGGGAAUUUUGGACAAUGGGCGAAAGCCUGAUCCAGCCAUGCCGCGUGCAGGAUGAAGGCCUUCGGGUUGUAAACUGCUUUUGUACGGAACGAAAAGACUCCUUCUAAUAAAGGGGGUCCAUGACGGUACCGUAAGAAUAAGCACCGGCUAACUACGUGCCAGUAGCCGCGGUAAUACGUAGGGUGCAAGCGUUAUCGGAAUUACUGGGCGUAAAGCGUGCGCAGGCGGUUAUAUAAGACAGAUGUGAAAUCCCCGGGCUCAACCUGGGAACUGCAUUUGUGACUGUAUAGCUAGAGUACGGUAGAGGGGGAUGGAAUUCCGCGUGUAGCAGUGAAAUGCGUAGAUAUGCGGAGGAACACCGAUGGCGAAGGCAAUCCCCUGGACCUGUACUGACGCUCAUGCACGAAAGCGUGGGGAGCAAACAGGAUUAGAAACCCGAGUAGUCC